CAGUUUGUCAAAGGAACAUUGGGAAAUGGCCAAAGAAAUGGAGAGGCUAAGGAGGGAGAGACUGAAAUAGAAUCCGAAAGUCCACAAGAUUUUGAAGCUUUGGUAUUUGGUAAAUGAUUGUUGUCCCAAAGGGUGAUGAAAAAAAGCAAAAACCAAAAUAGCAAACAUGGGGAUUGUGAUGUAUGAAUGUUGCCCAUCACCACUCUUAAAUAUAAUAUAUCAUCGAAUUUCUUAUGUAUUCUAAUUGCUGCCAAAGUUGAACUCAACUUCUUGUGGAAAUACAAUGCAAUCCGAGUCUAAAUCCAGUUCAUUUUACUGGCAAUUGCAGACAAGUGAUUCCUCAUCUGCAACAUCAAAGACCAAAAUUUUAUUGUCAUUUUUCUGUCCCUGUGAUUUACUCUCUCCUAAAAAUAACUCAUUUCCUUAAUUAAAGUUAAAAAAAUCUUCGAUUUUGGGGUAGUGACGGAUAGGAGAAGAGCCCUCUUUAGCUCUCCCUAGUCAAUUCUCACCUAGGGGAUUCCUUCACAAUUGUAAAAUAGUACAAUCUGCUUUGAAUUUCCACUUUAAAAGAAUUAAUUAUACAAGUUAUAACUUUUUGCAGGAAAAGUUUAUUGAAUUAGUUUCAACUUUAUUUAAUUAAUAAACGAAAAUCAGAUCCACCAUGACCAAAAUAUCAGGUUUGAUGCAAUUUAAUAUGUAUCAGUUCAAAUUAAAAAUUAUAAAUAUCCAUUUCCCUUUUUAAUUCAAAAUUUUAGGUUAUUUUCUCUUUUAUAUUUUUAGAUAUAAUUUUCUAACAAUAAAAUUAUUUAUGAAUGGUUAGUAAAAUUAAAAAUAUAUAGGUAAUAAUAAAUUUGACAUUUAGUAUUUACAUUUUUUUUCAAAUUGGUCUUUUUUAUUUUUUAAGUUAAAUUUAGUGUUAAAUUGUUAUUUUUAAUAAAAAUAUUAAAAUUUUAAAUAUCACAAUUUAUAUGUAUUUUAUAUUAAUUUUUAUGAUUUAUAUAUAUAUAUUUGAAUUUUUAAAUAUUUUUUAAUAUUAACAGGUUAAAAAGUCAGUCAAUUAGAAGCAAAAAAUUUCACUAUAGGCCGAAAAGGCAAAAACACGCACCCAGGACAACAGGAAGAGAAUUUUGGUGAGAGCAACUGAGAGUCACUUCAGGUACGAAUCUUUACUUCAACUUUGUCUUUUCCUUUUCAUGUCCUUUUUUGUUUUCUGAUCUAUGCUUAUCUACUUCUAUUUCAGUGGGUUUUUUUUUUGUUUUUUGGGUUUUCAACUUUAGAACAAGUUUAUCUUUGCUUUUUUCAUCUCUGUUUUAGUUUUCAGAUCACUGCUUCUUUUUCUAUUUCAGCGGGUUUUUUUGUUUUUUGGGUUUUCAACUUUAGAACAAGUUUGUCUUUGCCUUUUUCAUCUCUGUUUUAGUUUUCAGAUCACUGCUUCUUUACUUAUUUUUCAGUGGGGUUUAAUGUCAGAACUCGGUCUGGUGCUUUUUGUUUUAGUGUCAUUCAUCUUACACUCUUUUCCUAUUUAUAUACAUAUAUAUUUUAAUGAAUUAGGGUCUUCCUCGUAUUAUAGAUGAAAGUUUAUUCUUAAUAGUACUUUGGGUAUGCGGUAAAUAUUUUUGUUUUGGGAGUAAAUUUUGGUACAGAAAUUGCAUAUUAGUCCAACUUCAGCUGUGUAUUCAAUUGAAUGUGUUUCCAUCUUUUUAGUAUGUUGCUUAUGGAUUCCUCGACGAAGAUAUCUUUCAAUCGUUGCAUUAGAGAUGGAGAUUUGAUUAUUGUAUAUGAGAGGCAUGAUACUAUGAAAGCUGUUAAAGUGUGUGAGAAUUCGAUUCUUCAAAAUCGUUUCGGUGUAUUUAAACAUUCAGAUUGGAUCGGGAAGCCAUUUGGUUCCAAAGUUUUCAGCAACAAAGGUGGAUUCGUUUACCUAUUGGCUCCGACACCGGAGUUAUGGACUUUGGUUCUUAGUCAUAGGACUCAGAUUCUUUAUAUUGCGGAUAUUAGCUUUGUGAUUAUGUACUUGGAAGUAGUUCCGGGUUGUUUGGUUCUUGAAUCCGGGACCGGUAGUGGCUCAUUAACAACAUCGUUUGCAAGGGCUGUGGCUCCAACGGGACAUGUGUAUACCUUUGAUUUCCAUGAACAGAGGGCUGCCUCAGCUAGGUAAGUCUUAAUGUUUAUCGUUUGCAAAAGUGCAUUGUGAUGAAAUAUGAUAUAGUAACUGCUUAGGUUGAACUUGAAUUCUGGGUUAUCUCGAGUUGAUGUCUUCAUAGAUCUAAAUUUUGUUGCCGUGAUAUUUAAUUGUCUCUAAUUGUCUCGGUUUACAGAUCUUUAUUAGUUUCAUUGUUGAGUGCAUUGUUAUGAAAUUUUGGUUUCAAAGAUUCGAGUCAUGAAAUAUGAUUUUGGUAACUGCUUAGGUUGAGCUUGAAUUCUAGGUAGAUUUCAGAAGUCUGUUUAGGUUCAUGUAUUCUUUGAUCGACAUUCUGUUGCUUUCAUGGAACCUUGCUUAGGACUCAUUUAUGAUGCAUAUUUUAUCCCAUUAUAUGGUUUCUGUUUGUCUAAUUGAUAAUAGAAAGAUCCAAGGAUGGUUGUUUUUUUUUUCUUUGAUUCUUCUAUGUGUUGGUUUGCAAAAGAAGGAAUGUUUUACGAUUUUUCACUCCUUCAACAGAGAGGAUUUCGAGAGGACUGGAAUAAACACUUUAAUCACUGUGGGAGUCCGAGAUAUUCAGGGUGAGGGAUUUCCUGAUCAGUUUUUUGGGUUGGCUGAUUCCGUAUUUUUGGACCUCCCGCAACCUUGGCUAGCCAUUCCUUCAGCUCGAAACAUGUUGAAACAAGAUGGAACUCUGUGUUCCUUCUCACCGUGCAUUGAACAAGUGCAACGUUCAUGUGAAAUUCUUAGAUCUGGCUUUACAGGUAACAUAUUAGAAACGAGUUGUCCUAUCUUGUUCAAGCAGUUUUUUUUUUUAAAAGCAUCAUGAACUUUGAUUGUAAUAUGCACAGAUAUACGGACCUUUGAAAUACUGCUCCGAACGUAUGAAGUCCAUGAAUGGAAAAUGGAUCACUCGAAGGUCGAUGAUGGUAAUUCCACUGCGUGCCCUCCACGCAAGAGGAGGCAGCCUUCAAGGGAAGCAAGUGUGGGGGACAAUGCAAGUUCUCCGGUGAUCAUGGCCCGGCCAUCUGCUGAAACUCGAGGGCAUACUGGAUAUUUGACAUUCGCCAGGAAGUCAUUAAACUUCCAUUGUUAACCAAAUAGGGUUUUAUUGAACUUCCAUUGUUAACUAAACAGGGUUUUAUUAUAUACACAUGCAUAAUUGUGCCUGCUGAAUUAGCUUUAAGUUUAAUCCACAUUAAUCUCACUCAGAUAGGUCUAAUUUAUCCCACAUGAAUUAACAACUCUUGCUAAAAAGUAAAAACAAUGCAGAGAAAGAUGUAGAAAAUUUUCAAACAGUUUGUUAUGUCUAUUAUUAAGUGCAGCUGCUCUACUAACAAAUUUCAUCUCUCAAGUAAGAUCUUGGUCAGAGACCUAAGACUUCAUAUUUCUGAUGCACUGAAAACCAGUUGAAUAGGCAUCAAGUUGGGGAACUUUAAACAGGCCCCGUUGAGAUUCCAAGGAAUGCAUUUCACAAGGUUUUCCCUAUUCAAGAGCGUACUUCAUUGAUCAUCGAUGAAAGCCCACAUGUCGGCUUUCGUUAUUGAAGUUAUCAGCAAGGCCAUAAAACAUACAAUGCACACUAUCAUGAAAUACCUAUAUCAACUAUAACUUCUUUAUUUAGCCUGGAGGCCAGCUCAUUUGGCGCCCUCCAAGGAGGUGGACAUGAAUGUGAUACACAGAUUGACCUGCAAUACAACACAACGUAUUAUAUGAAAAACAUUCAUAUAUGAUCAAAUUAAAAUAUAUGAAUUAAAUGAUUUUGAAGCUUUGGUAUUUGGUAAAUGAUUGUUGCCCCAAAGGGUGAUGAAAAAAGCAAAAACCAAAAUAGCAAACAUGGGGAUUGUGAUGUAUGAAUGUUGCCCAUCAC
rnacentral:lncRNA from 1 species